CCCGCUUGGCUCCGGUGGCUUCCGUGUCAGAGUGAGGAGGACAGCAUGCAGGGUGAGGGGAGAGAUUGUGCCCCAUCCUCAGGGAUGGAUUAACCCCUUGAUAUCCAGGAUGUUGGCUGCUCAGACACAAGCCUUCUGUAUCCCUGAACAUUUUCAGGCAUCCUUGCCCAGAAAGAAAGAAUCCCGCAUCUUUCCACACGUGUCAAAGCAGGCUCCAUGCUACACCCGGAGAAGUGAGAAAGGGCUCUUCCCAGGCAACGCUACCAGUAAAAGUUUCUCUUGAAGAGUUAACUCAGGACGAAAAUGAAAAGAAGGCUCAACCCAUAGCGGCGCUGUAGAAGGAAACUGGUGCCGGGUAGGAAGGCAGGGCUGGGAAAAAACUCGAAGGCGCAUCAGCAGGGAGUCAGCCAUCCUCGGCACGGGCCAGACACCGAUUGGGAGCACCGGGGCACAGCGUAGCCUCUGCCGUGGAGGCUCGAGGCUCUGCCAAUGAUCGGGCAACGAGGACAAGGUCCCCAGGAGGAUAUCUCCCCCUCCCCAGGCAGCUGGACUCCCACCCUCACCGCUUCUGGAAGACCCAGAAUCUUGCAGAAGACCCCUGUGCACACACCUCUGAGAGAGCUUGGAGCACAAGUGAAACCAUUGGUACCCUUAACACCUCGCUGCCCCUGGAAUUCGGUCUCCCUGUGGGGCCAGCCUCAAAACAACCAUCCAGCCCCAUCUCUCUUGAUCAUUCCUCCACCUCUAGCUCAAGAUCUCUACUUCCCUGCCAUCUGAACUUUUGUCAGUGUCACCUAGACUCACUUCUAUUCCUCACUAAACCAGUCAGCACCCAGUGCCCAACCAUAUGGCUCCUACCACCUUCCAUCUCCUCCCUCCUCACCCCCAAAACCUUCCCCUGCCACAUCACCAGUGGCCUCCUAAGUGCCAAGGCCAGUGGGUACUUUCCAUUCCUUCCCUCUCGGCAGCUCUCCACAGCCUGUGACAUGGCCGACCAUGCCUUCCUCCAAACCCUGCCCUUCCAGGCCUGCACGACACCCUACUCUCAUUCUCCUCCUACCUCCCUGACUGUCCCUGUUCCAGGGACUCUUUCCCAAAGCUCCAGCCUGGACCUACUGCUUUUAGUACUAGUCUACACAAUCUUCCUGCUUAAUCUCAUCCCCUCAAAUAAUGAUUCAGUUAAACAAAAAAACAACCCUCAAGGCCAGACAUAGCUCCAUAUACUCAGCUGUCUUCAGGAUGUCUCCACCUGUCCCAAACUGGACUUUUCGUCUUCACCCCAGAUGCGUUCUUCCUGUCUGUUCUCCGACAAAACUGGCAGCACAAGCAUCUACCCGGUCUCCCCAGCUAUAAGCCAUAAGCUGUAAGAGGCAUCGUGGACUCCCUCCCUCUCAAAGUCCAGCCAGUCUCUAAGCCCUGUUCUAGUCUCCUAAAUUUUUUUUCAAAGCAUCCCCUCCUCUCCGUCUCUGCUCCCGCUCAGGCCCCUCAGGCCCCUCCUCUCUCGGCUGGAUUCAUGCAACAGCCUCCUAACUGGUCCCCUCCCUGUGGCCUAGCCCUCAGCUCCCCCAUCCACAAGGCCACAGUCGGUCUCCUGAGAAGGCAAGCAGGACCAGGUUCCUCCCUGAUAUCACCCUCCCCUCUGCCCCAGGAGAAAAUCCAAGUGCCCAACUGUGGCUUCCAAGUCUCUCCAGGAUCUGGUCUUCCUCUAAUCCACUGUCCACAGAGCUGUCAAACAGGUCAUCGCUAAAGGGCCCAGGGCGUCAAAUCCCCUCUCUUCACUUCUGCCUCUGAGCCUUGGCUCUAACCCUCCUCCCUGCCAGAGGCUCAUCCCUACCUCCUCCACACUGACAGUCACCGGGGUAACUCCUACUUCUCCCUCCCCAUGCAGCUCAGAGGUUGCCUCCCGAGGGAGCCUGCCAGCCCCUGACCUGGCUUGCUCCCCGCCCUCCCCACUUCUUUACCGUUUCUUCUAGAACUUGCAUUUGUCCUGCAUUUACCACCUCUCAGCUUACUCAGGAGUGCCCCCACUGCCCCCAGGAGCUGUGAGCUUCCUAAAAUGCUGCCUUUCCUUCCUGAGACCCCAGAGUCUAGCAUGGGGGCUGGCACC